rnacentral:lncRNA from 1 species
UAUAAGAAAAAUAAGUUUUUAUAAAAAAAAUUAUUUUUCAUAUUUUAUAAAAAACUAAUAUUUUUAUUUUUAAAAAAAAUUUAAAAAAAAUGAGUUUUUUAUGAAAUAUAAAAAAAUGUUUAAAAGUGGAAUUGAGCUUUUAUGCUUUUAAAAGUACAAGUUAUUGAUGCUUAUAAAUUUUUGGUCAUUGGAUUAAGGGAUGUGCAAUUAGAAUGAUGUGGGACUUUUAGGCAGCGUUUGGUUAGGGAAUAGGAAUAGGAAUAGGCCCUUAUGCCCCUUUAUACCCAAACGCUAAUUUUUUACACGAGAAUAGUAGUUCUCGGUUAUCCCCACUAACACCUUCAUUUUCUAUAUAAAACUAUCUAAAAUUGUUCUUAUUCCCGGGAACAACCCAAUUUUCAUCCAAACAUUAUUUUUCUUAUUCCCAUACUUGUACUUAUCCCUGUAAUAACUAGUUCUUGUUUAUACCCGAACCAAACGAUACCUUAGGAUAUUCAGGUUGGUUGAAUAGUAUGAUCUAGCGGGUGGAAAUGAUCAAAAGAGUAAAUCUAACGGUAAAAAUUUACAAGCAUCAAAUAUUUGGUGAUUUUACCAGCACUAUAGCCAGACUCUUUAAAA